GGAUAAGACCAAAAUCCA
rnacentral:snRNA from 1 species